GACGAACGCUGGCGGCGUGCUUAACACAUGCAAGUCGAACGGAAAGGCCCUGCUUUUGUGGGGUGCUCGAGUGGCGAACGGGUGAGUAACACGUGAGUAACCUGCCCUUGACUUUGGGAUAACUUCAGGAAACUGGGGCUAAUACCGGAUAGGAGCUCCUGUUGCAUGGUGGGGGUUGGAAAGUUUCGGCGGUUGGGGAUGGACUCGCGGCUUAUCAGCUUGUUGGUGGGGUAGUGGCUUACCAAGGCUUUGACGGGUAGCCGGCCUGAGAGGGUGACCGGCCACAUUGGGCCUGAGAUACGGCCCAGACUCCUACGGGAGGCAGCAGUGGGGAAUAUUGCACAAUGGGCGGAAGCCUGAUGCAGCAACGCCGCGUGCGGGAUGACGGCCUUCGGGUUGUAAACCGCUUUCGCCUGUGACGAAGCGUGAGUGACGGUAAUGGGUAAAGAAGCACCGGCUAACUACGUG
rnacentral:rRNA from 1 species